UACGAGGGGGGCAAAUGUUGUUCGGAAUCACUGGGCGUAAAGGGUGCGUAGGCGGGCUUCUAAGUUAGGUGUUUAAUCCCGGGGCCCAACCCCGGUCAGGCACCUAAAACUGGGAGUCUUGAAUAGUGGAGAGGUCAGUGGAAUUGGAGGUGUAGCGGUGGAAUGCGUAGAGAUCUCCAAGAACACCAGUUGCGAAGGCGGCUGACUGGACACAUAUUGACGCUGAGGCUCGAAAGCAUGGGGAGCAAACAGG
rnacentral:rRNA from 1 species